AUUGCAAACUAAGCCAUAUUUUGAGACCAAUUGUGAAUUAUUUUUUUGAGUUAGAAAAUCAAAACAAGAAAAUACAAGUUCCAUUUCAAUUUUAAAGUUAAAUUCACAUUUCAAUUACUUCACAUUUCAAUUACAACUUUCAAGAAUAAAAUGUGGAGUUGAUCUCAACCUCUCCAUAUCAACAAACUUCAUGAAUUGAAAGACCUAACAAAACAGAGAGAUUUUAGUCAAAACAAUGCUCAAAAUAAUACAAAAAAUCAACCAAUUUACAAAAGAAUGAAAGUAGAGUAAUUGUUAUGCAGUAAAAGAACCAACUACUAAAAAAAAAGGGAAAGAGGACAACCAUCUUUCAUUCGGCAGUGGAUUGAACAUCUCCUUUUGAGCUUUAUCCUGCCCCAUUUACAAUUGCCAGCAGACUUGCACAAAACUAAAAAAACUAAAAAAAGUAUCUAAGAAAGGUUCCUAUCUCCAUUAUAAUGAAUAGAUUUCAGCAGCAUCACAAUAAACAUAUAGCAGUUACUAUAAGGAAUAAAAAAAGGGGAGUUCAUCCAUCGUAUAAAAUAGGGAGGACAGCAAGAAAUAGAAAAAAGGCAUCAAAGUUCCAAAGUUCCAACUGCACAAAAAUUUCUAACAGAGAAUCAAAACUUCUAAAACAACACUAAAAUCCCCAACGAAAAAUUUCUUUCCGGCAAAAAACCAAUAAUACGAUGGAGGGACAAUACUUACAGGAAAGGGAGGAAAUAUCAGAGGAGUGAUUGUGAGUCCGAUAACAACCAGGAGUAUCCGUGCACGCUCGAUAGGUAAAUCCACUUUACUUUCUUGUGAUAACCUCACUGCUUUCUCCUGUUUUCACCAAAAAAUUUGAAUUAUCAUUUAGUAAUAACAACAACAUGUAAGCAACGGUAAUAUAUAUAAAACCACUUCCAACAACAAUUUGUUUUACCUAACCAUUUGCGAUAACCAUUUGCAAUUUUGUUACUGUUAAGUUCUCUGAGCGUUUGUUAGGGGUGAGGCCAUUUUCGAUCUGGCUAAAAGGAGAGACCGUCUCCGUAGAACUCGUCGAAGCCGUGAAAGAGAAACCUUCGCCACGAACCGUGCGCCAUUUUUGCUUCCACGUCGAAACUGUGAGGAUGUGGAGAGGAUAGCGAGUAGGGGGUAGUUUAAGAUCUCUUGAGAAGCUAUGGCCGGUGAGUAUGGGCGUUGGGCAGAAGAGAUGAUUUGAGUAUGAAUCAGUGUUUCUUGGUUUCGUUGAAUUUGGAAGGGAACGAACGGUUGCUAGGGUUCAUGUCUAAAGUCAGGGAAUUUCGGUCUUUUUGUGUGUUCCAGCCGGGUCGGUUGAGGUCCGACCCAGAAUUCCUAGCCCACGUCCUUGGGGAUAUUUUGGGCCCCCUUUCUUUUUCGUACUGGGCCGCGGUUGUUGGCCCAACCUUUUUUUUAUAUCUUCUUCGUUCAAAACCUUGUCUUGUACCACUAGGAGGAGAUUUAUCUCAACUAACCGCGUUUGGUUCAGUGGGUGAGACUUUCGUUGUCUCCCAGGAGAUCUUCAGUUUGAUUCUUGGGCUGGACGUUUCACUCUCAUUUUAUUUAAGUCCUGUUUGUUUAUAGCAUCCCCUUUGCCCAUUCAUAUAUUUGUUUUGUUUAAAGUAAAAG
rnacentral:lncRNA from 1 species